rnacentral:SRP_RNA from 1 species
GCCGGGCGCAGUGGUGCGUGCCCGGGACUAGUAGUCCCAGCUAGUUGGGAGUCUGAGGUGGGAGGAUCUCUUGAGUCCAGGAGUUCUGGGCAGUAUUGUGCUAUGCCGAUUGGGUGUCCGCAUUAAGUUUGGCAUCAAUAUGGUGACCUCCCGGGACCGGGGACCACCAGGUUGCCUAAGGAGGGGUGAACUGGCCCAGGUCGGAAACGGAGCAGGUCAAAACUCACGUGCUGAUCAGUAGUGGGGUCACACCCGUGAAUAGCCACUGCAUUCCAGCCUGGGCAAUAUAGCAAGACCCCAUCUCU